GAGGAGUCAUGCCCAUUCCGACAAAUUGCGUGUGCCCAGUGUGCGCAGCCGGUGACAGAUGGCCGCAUGGCCGAGCACCGCGCCAACGAGUGCCCACAGAGGCUGGUGCUGUGUGAGCACUGCGGCAUGGAGCUCAUGUUUGCUAGAUUACAGCCUCAUUUGGAAGUGUGUGAAAAGUUCCCCUUGGUUUGUGAGCGCUGUGGACAGGCAGACAUCCUGAGAGAACAGGUG